UACGAAGGGGGCUAGCGUUGUUCGGAAUCACUGGGCGUAAAGCGCACGCAGGCGGAUUGAUAAGUCGGGGGUGAAAUCCCGGGGCUCAACCUCGGAAUUGCCUUCGAUACUGUCUGUCUUGAGUCCGGGAGAGGUGAGUGGAAUUCCUAGUGUAGAGGUGAAAUUCGUAGAUAUUAGGAAGAACACCAGUGGCGAAGGCGGCUCACUGGCCCGGUACUGACGCUCAUGUGCGAAAGCGUGGGGAGCGAACGGG
rnacentral:rRNA from 1 species